rnacentral:lncRNA from 1 species
CUGCACAAGUUAGUGGUUACUUGGGCAUGGUUGCUCUCUCAUUUCAGAGUCUCCUUUUGAAGUGGUUCAAAGGUAGAGAGCACUUUAGGAGAAUGGUGUGUUUUAAAACCUGGCUGGCAUUUACAAUGUUCUGCUCUGUUCUUCUCUGCAUUAGCUAUAAGAUAGUGGGCUUUAGUUUGCAGUAGAGAUCUUGUGGCUCAGGAGCCUGAAGAGUUUACUACUCAGCUCUGUGAAUCUUCUUUAAGAUGAUCUUUGAGAAUACCUUUCCAUGUCGUCCUUAAAGCAAGCUAUUGUCAUCCAUUGCUAGCAUUCAGAUUCUCAAGACAAGUAUGUCAUGAGAAAUGAACCUGCAAAGACUACCUGCUUUCUUACCACACUCAUUUCUCCUCACCACUUGUGCCUGCUGAAGGCACAAGAAGUUAAGGACAGUUUCUGACCUCAAAUCAGAUUUUACCAUUUUAGGGAUGUAACCUUGAAUGGAUGGUGGUGUUUUAAUUUCUUCCGCUGUAAGUUACCUAUUUUGUUGGCUUUUUGAACAUCAAUGGGUAUAUGUGUCUGAUACUCGUAAUGCUUAGUAGUAUCAGGUAUGAGAAGGACAACAGUUACAGAAGACGCUACUAUAAUCCAUUCAUAGGAAAUACAGAGGGCUGCCAAAUGCAAAGUGAGAGUAUCAACUUUGUUCUAGCCUGUCUGUAGCCUAGAAGGCCUUAAUAUAAAUGUCGGAGGGAAGUUCUCUCAAUAAUUCAGGAUGGUGCUCCAACAGGCCACAAGGGGAGAAAUGGCAGGAGUUAAAGCUGAAAGCAUGCUGAGGGCCAGGUGUGAAUGACAUCAAGACAUUUAAGGACUUUGCUUUAAGAACAAUGGUAACUCACUAAUACAGCAAACCACAUAUGUUGCAUUUUUGAAAUUUCAGUUUGGCUGUCAGGUAGAAAACAUGAAAUUUAAGUAGAUAAAAAGCAUGUGGACCAUUAGAAGGUUUUGAUGUUUAAAACGUCAUCAAUUAGGUAAGUGCUUGUGAGGAUGAAAGUGAGGAGUGACACAUGGACGGGUCUUCUGAGGAGGACGGUGAUAUUUAAAUGUUUUCCAAAGCUGAAGAGGAGGAAUUCAUGACGCCUCUCUUGGUUUCUAUUUUCCAGUUGGUGUUCUUUAUAUAAAGUGGGGACAUUUGCUGUUUAAUGAGGAACAACUUCAGAAGAUGCAGAGUGAGUUUUGAUGGGAAAGAGACUCUUCAUGGGCUACUCUAGAACAAACAAUGGAAACGGAUCACAGGAAAGAAUGAAGGACAUGGUUCAUGUCUGAUUCAGGUGAUUUCUACAAACAGUUCCAGGAGCUUUCUCCAUUCUCCCAGUUGAGAUUGGCAUUAUGCUUAGAGAAGAAAAAGCGUCUCAAAAGAAAACUAGUCACUCUUGAGGUAGAAUUGCCUCACCUGAAGAGGGAGGAGGUAUUUUUCCUUUUCUCUGAGUCAAGAACUCAUGAUCACCAUCACCCAACCCUGCUCACACACACCCUGACCACCACGGGUCUCUAGGCACUUUAAAUUCUAUGAUUUAUAUGAACUCUUACAGGGACGCAGCUGUUCUCCUGGGCAUAUUCACAACACGUUUUUCCACCCACUCACCUCCCAAGGUGGGUUCUUAAGCAAGUAGCAAAAUGAGGUGUGGGCACUGACACAAAGACCAAUGAGGCAUUUUAAGAGAAGUUAAAUUCAGGAAGCUUUAGGGAAACAAACAAAAAUAAAUUUUAAGAAAUCUGUUUGCAUGGAAAGAUAAAACAAUAAUAGAAUGAGAGAGAGAGAGAGAGAGAGA